UUCACUGGCACUCUCUACCACUCAUCCCCCUCUCUCUCUGUUCUUUCUGAAUUAAUUCAGUGUGUGUGUGUGUGUGUGUGUGUGUGUGUGUGUGUGUGUGUGUGUGUGUGUGUGUGUGUGUGUGUGUGUGUGUGUGUGUCUGCAGGGUAGAAAAUCAAACACACAAGUCUCUCCAGGCGUUCAUCAGCUCUGUGUGAACAAAGGAGUGAGCCUCUAAUUUAGACUGUGACUUUAUUAGUAGUAGCUGCACUAACCUCCUAUUCAUGCUGCAUUGUGUAUACAGUAUUAAUAAUAAACAGAUAAAAUGCACAACUUUUUUCAGAUUGCAACGAAUCCCACUUUUUGGUCCAGAUGCUUUGCGGCUGAGGCUAAGUGGUCAAACAGCCCACUGGAGGGAUCUGCAUAAUGAAUUACAGAUCUAAAAAGACAAGCAAAAUGUUAUGCCGGAGGAGGAUUUUUCACAACUUGACCAACCAACCGCUCUUCCUAUUAUUGUCUUAGGCUGUAACAGGGUGUUUAAAGAAUUAGAAAAUUAUUAAAUGCACAUUACAGCCAUGGAUCAGCUGAAAUGGUCCUUAAGGAUUGGGUUGCAAUCUCUUUAUUAUAUAUUUGUUUUCAUUCUUUCUCAGUUGUGGUUCUUAGGUUAAAAUGAAAGUUGAUUCUCAGAUUAUGCUACACAGCUAACGUCUGCUCAGUAUGUCUACUACACAGACACCAACAUGAAGAAACAUCUUAAUGCAAAGCUAAAUGGUGACAAAUGAAAUGGAAAACUUGGUAUCAGUAUCUGUGGUGUUUGAAUAUUACGUAAUACAGCAGUGCAUUUGUCUUCUGUGUGUGUUUUUAUACAUAAAUUACACUGAUGUUCUGUUAUUUUUAUCAUCCAACCUAUUUUUUUCAACAUGUUUAUUUUAUGUAAUGUGUCUACAGAAUGUCUGGCUGCUCAGUUGAGAUCUGGGGUCCAUUAGACGGAGAAGCCGUUUUGGGCGGCUCUAGUUCCUGGAGGUUUUCCUGGAGAACUCCACAACACGGCAUAACAACAAAGAACCAGCUCUUCAGGUCAAGACUCAGCGGUUCACCUGCAUCUGAAAGAGAAGGGACACUCCUUUGAGGACAGCAAUAUCCACAUUCUGGUCUGAGAGGAUAGAUGUUUAAGAGGAGUGAAAGAAGUCCUCUAUGUGAAAACAGAACAGCCAUCUCGAAACAAAAAGGGGGGUCUAUGACUCCACUUAUCAGCAGACCAGAGUGAACUGAGGACAGAGACUGAGAGAGAGGAUGCGAGAGCGAGCUUGGUUUGAACAGACUGACCUAGAUAGACUCUCCCUUCAAUAAAACAUUGAGACUGAGGAA